rnacentral:rRNA from 1 species
ACUCCUACGGGAGGCAGCAGUGGGGAAUAUUGCACAAUGGGCGCAAGCCUGAUGCAGCCAUGCCGCGUGUAUGAAGAAGGCCUUCGGGUUGUAAAGUACUUUCAGCAGUGAGGAAGGUGGGUAGUGUUAAUAGCAUACUCAUUUGUACGUUAGCUGCAGAAGAAGCACCGGCUAACUCCGUGCCAGCAGCCGCGGUAAUACGGAGGGUGCGAGCGUUAAUCGGAAUUACUGGGCGUAAAGCGCAUGCAGGUGGUUUGUUAAGUUCAGAUGUGAAAGCCCGGGGCUCAACCUCGGAAUUGCAUUUGAAACUGGCAAACUAGAGUACUGUAGAGGGGGUAGAAUUUCAGGUGUAGCGGUGAAAUGCGUAGAGAUCUGAAGGUAAUACCGGUGGCGAAGGCGGCCCCUGGACAGAUACUGACACUCAGAUGCGAAAGCGUGGGAGCAAACAGGAUUAGAUACCCCUGGUAGUCAGUC